UUUUCAUUCCCGCUACCCAACCAAAAAUCCCCAAUCUCUUUAACCAAAAUUCCCAAUCUCAUAAACCAAAAAUCCCCUUCAACCAAAAAUCCCUAAUCUCUUCUCUCUCUCUCUCUCUCCGGCGAGUGGCGGCAGACGACAGCGCCGGCAGACGACGGCUAGCAGCAAACAACGGCGGCGAGUGAGCGACGACGGUGCGAGCAGCAAAUCUAUUGACAUGUCUAGCAGAUUUAUUUACACAGAUCUGGAUUUCAGUUUCCUUGAGAUGAAUCCCUUUACCCUGGUGAAUGGAGAGUCAUGCCCAUUGGAUAUGAGGGGGGAGUUGGAUGACACUGCUGCCUUUAAGAACUUUAAGAAGUGGGGUGACAUAUUUUUUUCUUCCCUUUGGAAGAGUUCUGAGUCCUACAGAAAGCUUCAUUCACUCACUGGAUGAAAAGAUUCAUUUUUGAUUGUAUAUUAAGGAAAGUGUGCCUGUAUAUAAAGUGCCCCUGAAGGAUCUUUUGUGUUUCUUCAUGGCUGUGCUCACAACCCAACUGGCAUUGAACCAACCCCAGAACAAUGGGAAA